GAUGAACGCUAGCUACAGGCUUAACACAUGCAAGUCGAGGGGAAACGACAUCGAAAGCUUGCUUUUGAUGGGCGUCGACCGGCGCACGGGUGAGUAACGCGUAUCCAACCUGCCCACCACUUGGGAAUAACCUUGCGAAAGUAAGACUAAUACCCAAUGAUAUCUCUAGAAGACAUCUGAAAGAGAUUAAAGAUUUAUCGGUGAUGGAUGGGGAUGCGUCUGAUUAGCUUGUUGGCGGGGUAACGGCCCACCAAGGCAACGAUCAGUAGGGGUUCUGAGAGGAAGGUCCCCCACAUUGGAACUGAGACACGGUCCAAACUCCUACGGGAGGCAGCAGUGAGGAAUAUUGGUCAAUGGACGAGAGUCUGAACCAGCCAAGUAGCGUGCAGGAAAACGGCCCUAUGGGUUGUAAACUGCUUUUAUAAGGGAAUAAAGUGAGUCUCGUGAGACUUUUUGCAUGUACCUUAUGAAUAAGGACCGGCUAAUUCCGUGCCAGCAGCCGCGGUAAUACGGAAGGUCCGGGCGUUAUCCGGAUUUAUUGGGUUUAAAGGGAGCGUAGGCCGGAGAUUAAGCGUGUUGUGAAAUGUAGAUGCUCAACAUCUGAACUGCAGCGCGAACUGGUUUCCUUGAGUACGCACAAAGUGGGCGGAAUUCGUGGUGUAGCGGUGAAAUGCUUAGAUAUCACGAAGAACUCCGAUUGCGAAGGCAGCUCACUGGAGCGCAACUGACGCUGAAGCUCGAAAGUGCGGGUAUCGAACAGG
rnacentral:rRNA from 1 species